rnacentral:lncRNA from 1 species
CACGCCAACAAGAAGUGAAGCAGACAGAGUUGGCACUGUAGUAACAGAGCAUGUAGUCAGCAGGGAUUUGAGGAGGGGAGGUUCAGUUGACUGAGCACUUCUCAUAAAAGAAGACGAAUCAAAUAGAGAGAACAAAAAAGCCGGGGAAAAAUUUCCAGCCCAGGAGUCAGGGAGUGAAUCUGCACUUGAAACAAGGAGCCGAGAGGAACUUCCAGCCAGAAGGUACCUUUCAAACAAAGAAGCUGAGACUAACCCAACCUCAGAGAGUAUACUCAGAAUCUUUAGACUCAAAAUCUGUCCUUACUGUGCUUCGGUGGACUGUCAUCUGGAGCAGUGGCUCAGGAGUUGGACUCACCAAUGGAUCCUCGGUCAAUGAGUCAGGAGUGAAGACAAAGGUUUCAAAGGCCUGCAGGGAGCAGUUACUCUUAAUGAAGGGGACCAGCAAUUCAAAGUCCCUCCAUUGUUUUAUAACAAGUGGUUCCUUGCAUGGAAAGGAAGCGCCUAGAAAGGGCAGAUGGGGUUGGAAAGUUCCUAACAGAACUGCAGACUUGCCCGGGUCGAGUGGAAGAACUCGUGAAACCUGCACGCCAACUUCAGG